rfam:Picea glauca, whole genome shotgun sequence.
GCUUUCAUAGCUCAGUUAGUUAGAGCAUCCAUUUAGUAAGCAGGAGGUCAUGAGUUCAACUCUCAUUGAAAGCA